UUAGGUAGUAAAAAAUUAUUUUAAACUUAAAUGAUUUGGCGGUACUUUAAUCUGAUUAGAGGAAUAUGUUUAAUUAAAAUGACAAUCCACAAAGAUCUCACUUAAAUUUUAUCUUUAUAUACCUCCGUCAUAAGAAUAAUUUAUAAAAAUUUUUUCUUAAAAUAAGUAUAAUAAAAUGUCAGGUCAAGGUGUAGGUUUAUUUAAGGUUAAAUGUAUUACAUUAAAUUUAUUUUUGGAUUUGGUAUUUAAAUUAUUAAUGAAAUUGGAUUUAUAAGUAAAAUAAAUAAAUAUUGUUUAUUUGAAUAAGUUUUAAAGUAUGCA
rnacentral:rRNA from 1 species